GACGAACGCUGGCGGCGUGCUUAACACAUGCAAGUCGAACGGAAAGGCCCUGCUUUUGUGGGGUGCUCGAGUGGCGAACGGGUGAGUAACACGUGAGUAACCUGCCCUUGACUUUGGGAUAACUUCAGGAAACUGGGGCUAAUACCGGAUAGGAGCUCCUGCUGCAUGGUGGGGGUUGGAAAGUUUCGGCGGUUGGGGAUGGACUCGCGGCUUAUCAGCUUGUUGGUGGGGUAGUGGCUUACCAAGGCUUUGACGGGUAGCCGGCCUGAGAGGGUGACCGGCCACAUUGGGACUGAGAUACGGCCCAGACUCCUACGGGAGGCAGCAGUGGGGAAUAUUGCACAAUGGGCGAAAGCCUGAUGCAGCAACGCCGCGUGCGGGAUGAAGGCCUUCGGGUUGUAAACCGCUUUCGCCUGUGACGAAGCGUGAGUGACGGUAAUGGGUAAAGAAGCACCGGCUAACUACGUG
rnacentral:rRNA from 1 species